rnacentral:rRNA from 1 species
UACGGGGGGAGCAAGCGUUUUUCGGAUUUACUGGGCGUAAAGGGCGCGUAGGCGGUCGUGACAAGUCACUUGUGAAAUCUCCGGGCUUAACUCGGAACGGUCAAGUGAUACUGUCGGACUAGAGUACAGAAGGGGCAACUGGAAUUCUCGGUGUAGCGGUGAAAUGCGUAGAUAUCGGAAGGAACAUCAGUGGCGAAAGCGACUUCCUGGACCAAUACUGACGCUCAUGUGCGAAAGCGUGGGGAGCAAACAGG